UCGAGAAUCUUCGGCAAUGGGCGAAAGCCUGACCGAGCGACGCCGCGUGCGGGAUGAAGGCCUUCGGGUUGUAAACCGCUUUGGUCCGAGAGAAAGGGCAACUUGAUCGAUCGGAGAAACAAGGACGGGCUAAGUUCGUGCCAGCAGCCGCGGUAAGACGAACCGUCCAAACGUUAUUCGGAAUCACUGGGCUUAAAGGGCGCGUAGGCGGCCGAGCGGGUCGCGGGUGAAAUCCUCCAGCUUAACUGGAGAACUGCCCUCGAUACCACUGCGGCUCGAGGAAGGAAGGGGUCAUGGGAACUGUCGGUGGAGCGGUGAAAUGCGUUGAUAUCGACAGGAACGCCUGUGGCGAAAGCGCAUGACUGGUCCUUUUCUGACGCUGAGGCGCGAAAGCCAGGGGAGCAAACG
rnacentral:rRNA from 1 species